GAUGAACGCUGGCGGCGUGCCUAAUACAUGCAAGUCGAGCGAACGGACGAGAAACUUGCUUCUCUGAUGUUAGCGGCGGACGGGUGAGUAACACGUGGAUAACCUACCUAUAAGACUGUGAUAACUUCGGGAAACCGGAGCUAAUACCGGAUAAUAUUUUUAACCUCAUGGUUUAAAAUUGAAAUACGGUCUUGCUGUCACUUAUAGAUGGAUCCGCGCUGCAUUAGAUAGUUGGCAAGGUAACGGCAUACCAAGGCAACGAUGCAUAGCCGACCUGAGAGGGUGAUCGGCCACACUGGAACUGAGACACGGUCCAGACUACUACGGGAGGCAGCAGUAGGGAAUCUUCCGCAAAGGGCGAAAGGCUGACGGAGCAAAGCCGCGUGAGUGAUGAAGGUCUUCGGAUCGUAAAACUCUGUUAUUAGGGAAGAACAUAUGUGUAAGUAACUGUGCACAUCUUGACGGUACCUAAUCAGAAAGCCACGGCUAACUACGUG
rnacentral:rRNA from 1 species